GCUGGGAUAGCUCAGUCAGUAGAGCAUGAGACUUUGAAUCUCAGAGUCAUGGGUUUGAGCCCCCCGUUAGGCA
rnacentral:tRNA from 1 species